rnacentral:rRNA from 1 species
UACGUAGGGCGCAAGCGUUGUCCGGAAUUAUUGGGCGUAAAGAGCUCGUAGGCAGUUUGUCGCGUCUGUCGUGAAAGCUUGGGGCUUAACCCCAAGUCUGCGGUGGAUACGGGCAGACUAGAGGCAGGUAGGGGAGAACGGAAUUCCCGGUGUAGCGGUGAAAUGCGCAGAUAUCAGGAGGAACACCGGUGGCGAAGGCGGGUCUCUGGGCCGUAACUGACGCUGAGGAGCGAAAGCAUGGGGAGCGAACAGG